ensembl:lncRNA
AUUGCAGAAGUGUAAACUCAGGACCUCACAGCUCUGUCAAUUUACACAGACAUUCAAUUCAUUCUAUUAAUUUUAGACAUAUAAUGGUAAGCUGAUUUUUUUAUAGCACACUGAUCGAUAUCUGUGUAAAAUAAUCAUUUUUUUUUUAACUAGCGGGGCAGUGAAAUCUUUGCUUUGUGCUAAAGUCAACAGUGACAGAGUUUGAGCUCAAAUAAAUGCCGUGAUGUCUGGAGCCCUUUGCAGAAGGCAGACGGCAGGGGCUCUCCGAUGGGCUUCCGUGGCUUGCCAACAACAAGCAUCGACUGUUUUUGCACAGGUCAUUCAUCAUGCAGGGAGGAUUCCAUCCUCACCCCCCCGCCCCUCAUCACAGAGCCUCCAUCUAGCAAUUUGUUUCUGAAUAAAAAAUGUGAUCAUGAUUGCUCCGGCGGAAAAAUACGAGGAGAGGGAAAAUUCAAAAUCAGCGUCUCUCCAAAGCCCGGGUGCUCCGUCUCGGUAUCGAUCAGCGACAGAUCAAAUGGAUGAGGGGAGAGGCCGGGUGUCAUUCCCCUGGUGUGUGGCAGUGAGGCUGAGCCACCCGCGCACAGGACAAGAUUAGCCCCUUAGAAGGAACGUGACGAUCAUCAUGAGAUAAUACACGUAUGAUCAACCAUGCAGGAAAGUGCUCUUUCCGCCCCAUCAAGAUGAAAGAUGCACCAAACAGGAAAUUAGCAAUUGGCUGGGCUGACAGCAUAACAUGUUUCUCCCUUUCUUGUGCCGUAUGUUGGUAUUUGCAUGUUGGGCGUUAGUGUGUAUAAGAAGCACACGUACACGCACACAGAUAGCACAAACACACACACAAACAAAUUAUAUGCAUGCAUUUUGUUCUUAAGUUUUCCAUGACAUCUCUUUCACUUUCUUAUGACGAUGUACCUAUUGUCAGUCGCUUUGGAUAGAACCUCUUCUAAACGCCCUGAAUGUAAAUGUGAACGUACUCUGCUAGCCUUUGACAUCCCGCCAUACGGCAGCAGCCCCUGCCAGGCCCCGAUCAGGUGAUCAGGUGAUGCGCGCGGUGUCCUCCUCCUGUGUGAUUCCCCUUGAGGCGUGCUGCGCCUGCGUGAAUAACACAGUGCCACAGCCCCUGUCUGACCCCUACCCUCCGCGGUGGCAGGGAACAUUCAGCGGCACAUGUCCACAGCGCCGACGCCAGCUUCCUUCCAAUAUCCCACCCUUUCCCUCCUUUCAAACGGCUCCGGGAAGCCGGGGCAGGGCCACGCCAGCCAAUCAUGGCGAAGGACACUCAAG